GCGGGCGUGGCCGAAUGGUCAGGCGGCGGCCUUCCAAGCCGUUCACACGAGUUCGAUUCUCGUCGUCCGCUCCA
rnacentral:tRNA from 1 species